CUUAAGACAACAAAUUACGAGAUUUUUGCUGCUCUUCAAAGUUAGAUGAUAAUCAGCAAAUAGCUCCCUUAAAUUUGGGGGUAGCUCUCCUGGCAGUUCAUUAAGAUUCUGACAGAAUUAUACGUUCAGAUGCUGAAGGUGUAAGAGUCCUUUGAAGCUUUUUGGUAAACAAGAAAUAUUGCUUCCACUUACAUUCAAAUUUUCCAAAGAGUGCAAAGAUCCUAAAUCCUCAGGAAGUCCACUCAAUAUGUUGUGAUUAUUAAGAUCAUGUGAUGUCAAGGAGGAUAAACCUGAUACUUGAUUCAAGACAAAACUUGAGGAAUGUUGAAAUUGUUGUUCAUGUGAGAAUCGUAACUUCCACAGUUUGCCAAGCUUAGUGAUGGAGGGAGGUGGUUGGGAGAUUGCAGUUUCGCUCGCAUCAAGUAUAUGUAAAUCUUGCAAAUCACCAAUGUUUUCUGGAAGCUUCUCUAGCUUGUUGCACCCGUCGAGGUAAAGACAUCGAAGUUUCAUCAAAUUGCAGAUAUUCGAGGUCUCCUAGAUGCCCAAUGGAUGAAGGCACUUCUCUUAUCCCAGUAGAAUUCAGAGUCAGCUGUGUCAAGUAAUGCAUAUCUCCAUUGAUUUCUGGAAAUGUAUCUAAUUUUGGGGAAUUAGAUAUCUUGAGCUUUUGAAGGGAUUUCAUCUGAAUCGAGCUUGGAAGCUUCUUUAAGUUCUCACAUCCAUCUAUCUCUAACAAACGGAGCUUCUUUUGAACUCCAAGAGAUAUGGGGAGCUUUACCAAUCCAGAACAUCGGUAUAUACCAAGACAUCCCAAUUGCUGUGAUUCAAAGAGGUUGUUUGGCAGUGUUGCAAAUUUAUUGAAACCUGAAAUACUGAGAUCUCUAAGAUUUUGAAUGGCGUCCAGAAUACUCUCAAGAACUUCACACUCAGUCAAUUGCAAAUUUCUAAGGCUGCUGAAAGAUGGAGGUAAGCUUCUUAUCCACGGGUAUUUUACAUAGAGUAUUGAUAAGCGCGGCAUAUCUCCACAGAUUUCUGGAAAUUCUUCUAAGCUUGUGCAUUCAAGGAGAUUGAGAGUCUCAAGAGAUCCCACGCAGACAAAUUUUGGAAUCUUCUUAAGUUUGCGAUAACCUUCCAAACUCAAAUAAGUAAGCAGUCUGCAAUGUCCAAAUGAGGAAUGGACCUCUUCCAAAUUCACACACCGUGUAAAUUUAGUGUCUCUAAGUUUGGCAUAUCACCAAAAUUAGGGGUUUUUCUUAACUCACAGCUGUCCAUGAGAUCCAAAUGCUUCAAGUUGCUCAAUUUCUGUUUCCAAAAAAAAAAAAGAACAGUGAGCUUAACUAGUACUCCUAAUAGAAAUAUUUUGUAGGAAAAAAAAAUAAAGAGAAGAUAAGGUUGUUAUGAUCAUUAAAGGCGGUAGCCAAUCUGGAAAAGAACUUUUGAGAUACAUAAUUGUCUUAAAAUCCAAAUAUAUAUUUCUUUUCUUUUAAUUUCAUAAUGAAAAUAAAACCUCUUUAAACCUAGAAAUAAUUCCUUCUCAUCUUUGUCCAGACAAUCAAAACUAAGCCUAAGCUUUCCUAAAAUAUCCUUGUGAGGGAUUCUCUUCAGCCGAUCAAUUAUGUGUCUCCAGUGCUUUUUGUCUCGUCCGUAAAAUGAAGAACCCAAAACUUUAAGAGCUAAAGGGAGUCCACCAGCAUGGUGCACCACUUGUCUUGAAAGUUCCAUAAAAUCUUCUUUUGGUGAUUUUUCUCUAAAAGCAUGACUACUGAACAAUUCAAGUGCUUCAUCCUCCGAUAAUAGUUGGACUUCAUACACGUUAUCCCCAACGUGACUGAUUAACAGGUGCUUGUCUCUUGCCGUUAAAAUAAUUCUGCUACCCCUACCAAACCACUCUGUCCCUCCAACUAAAAAUUCCCACUGUUCUUGAUGGUUUACAUCAUCAAGGAUGAACAGAACUUUCUUCCAGCGAAGCAUAUUCUUUUAAAUAUUCAUCCCUUCAUGCUCACUAGUUAGAGUCAAUUUUUCACCCAAGAGCUUGCAAAUGACAACUUGUUGUAGCCAUGUUAGUCCAUUUUUCUGAUGAAGUUUUCCAACAUCACCAAGAAAACAAUCAGCUUCACAUCGAUGGCGGUAUCUUUGAUGUAGAAUAUUUGCAAUUUCUGUCUUGCCGAUGCCGCCCAUACCCCAAAUGCCGAUGGAGCAAACAUCAUUUGAUUCCAUAUCUAAUAAUGAGGUUACUUUCUCAACCUGAGAUUUUUUACCCACUAAACUUUCCAGGAAAGGUGAAAUAAUUUGAAGUGACUUGGGAAAUAUGACAUCAACUAACUUCUUGAUGCACUCAGCCUCAUCCCUACAUUACAGUGAAAAUACUCUCAGAGUAAAUAAAUAGAAAAGGAAAGACUUGUCAUAGAUUAAUAUCUAAAGCAAACACAUAAUAAUGUCACAAAGGUUGUUCCCCCGCUCUCCCCCCCCCCCCUGGUGUCAUAAGGUAGCUUAAAUCAACUAUUAUGAAUUAUAACAUUUUAAAAUCUAAUUACAUCAUCAAACAACCAGAUAGCUAAAAGUUUGGUCCUUUUUCCUCUUGAUAAAGAGAAACCCGAAGAAAAGAAGAAGAUCACUUACUUGAAAUUUUGUAAAUGAUACCCCGAUAUUUUCCCAGCCUCCGCAAAUGCACCCGUCCAUCUCUGAACCUUCUCCAUAUCAUCUUUGCAUUUUUCCUCAUGUUGUAAAAAUGAAUCAGCAAAAGGGGGAUGUUGAUGGCACACAUCUGAUUGACUCACAUCAUAGAAGACUGGAAUCACAAUCUGCUCCAAUUCCUUUUUACACUUUAUGAUGUGUGCAAGCUCCUCUAAACACCAUCUUGACGAUGCAUAGCUUUUUGAAAAUAUCACUAUAGCAAAUUUAGACUCUUGUAUGGCUUUCAAAAGUUCAUCAGAAAUUGAUUUUCCCGUUUCUAGUCGCUCAUCAUCUUUAAAAGUGCGGAUCCCUCUUUGUUCCAAAGCAUUAUAGAGAUGACUCACAAAGUUUCUACAUGUAUCUUCACCUCUAAAACUCAAAAAGACAUCGUACUUGCAAAUUUUGGAAGAAGAAGCAUGAGACAUUGUUGAAGGAUAUAAGACUAACAGGUAACUUCUCAGCCCAACUAGCAACAUUAUUUCUCAGCUAUGUGAAUGCAUAAUUUGGUCAAAAAGAGUGAAACAGUUGAGUUGACCAACCUGGUCAAAAAGAAAGAAAAGACAGACAAAUUUCCAGUUUAAUAAUAAAGAACAAGACUUCACCAUUUUCACUAUUCCUAGUCUUUAUGAGGAACUUGUUAUCAUCUUCCUAUUUCAACUUAUAAAAUGUUAACUUUUUCAUUACUGUGAGAAAUUAAAGAGUAUAAAAACAGACAAGAAGACUUACACCAAAAAAGGCAAAGAAAAAACUAAAGUCAUUACAUUUUUACUGAUAUUAUUGUAAAGACUUUACCUUUUUCAUUAUUCCAAACCUCUGUAGGAAACUUGUUAUCAUCUUCCUAAUUCAUGACAUAUAAUUGUACUCUUUUUCAGUAUUGCACUGACAAAUUAAACUAAUGAGCACCAAAUUGGGGCACAAAUUUAAAUCUUAACUUAAUCAUACCUUUCGGAAAAUUGAUAUAAAUUCGUCGCCCUAACUGAGAAAUUGCCCAGAAAUUGAAGAAAAAAAUCGUAAUAAUUUAGAAAAAAACACACAAAAAGCAGAAAAGAAAACUGACCACAUCAAAGAUAUAAGCAGAAAAGAAGAGAACCGCACUCUUAACUAUUGAGGUUUAUAAGAGCUUAUUUGGUCAGAUAUAUCAUUUUUAGGUUUAUCUUUAUCAAGAGGAAAAUGGAAUAAAGAUUCUUGACAAGCUGACGGAGUAUGUCGGAUUUUAGCGUUUUCUUUAAUAGUGUUUAUUAGCAAUAAACAAGCUUUUUUUUUUACUCGUAUUGAAGAUGCGUUUUUUUCUAAAAUGAUCCGUAUUGAGUUAAAUUAAAAAUUAGAAAGCAAGUAUUUGUGUUAAAUCAAGAUAGCCGGGAUGAUAUGAAAAAAACAAAAAUACAUGAUAUUAUUUAAUUUAAUUGAAUGUUUAAACAAGAAAAUUGAAGCACUUCCGUCAGUUAUUAUUCAUGCAAAAAUACAUUAAAAAAAAUCUCAAAAAAAAAUCAAUGUUCAUACAUUAAUUUUUAUUUUUUUUAAAAGGAAAACUAACGAACACAAGUUAUAUGGACAAACACCAACUAAAAAUCGCAUACCCUUUCCCAUAGGCAGUGGCGGAGGCAGGAUUUCCAUCGAGGGGGUUCAAAAAGAUAAGUAAGCACACUAUUAGUAUCCAUAUAAGCGGGGCGGGUCAAAUAUAAAUGGGUCGGAUCAGAUAUAAGCAACUAAAAAAAAUUCAACUCUACCUCAACACAAACAAUAAAAUCGAGUAAUCAUAUGUUUGACGAGAUUUGUAUUUUUUAAAACUAUAAUUAUGGGUCUUGUCUCUGUCAUUGUUGUAUACAAACGUUAUUUAAUUUUUGAAACUAACUAAGGAAUACUUCUAAAUCCGAUCAUACUGUAGCAAUAAAAUUUGCGUCGAUAAAAUAAUUAUCAAGGUUGAAAAAUAUCGCGACAAUUGUAUUUAUUUAUAAAUUUUAAAUGAUUACUCUUAUUUAUUUAAUCUUACUUAUAAUUAUAUUAAUUCUUAAUCAAAUAUAAAUUAAAUGUUUUCUUAAAAUGAGUAUGAAAGAAUGUAUUUUUAAUUUUAAUUAUGACAACAACGUUUAUAAGUUUUACUUAAUUUUAUAAAAAUGGAAAAUUAAAUUUAUUUUUUUAAUAUCUAAUAAAUAGUAUAAAUCUCAAUAGGUUUUCAAACAAAACAAAAAUUUUCAUUUAUUUAGAAAAUUAAAUGAAAAUCGGCUGAAAUAUGGGGGAAAAAAAUGCUGUUACAGGGAGUCGAACCUGCGACCCAGCACUUAUAUUGCGAAUUCUUGAACCCCCUUUACCACUAAACCAAGCCCUUAGCUUAUGUUCAGGGGUUCAUCACUUGGUAUAUACAUAUAAAUAAAAAAAUUGACCCUAUAUAUACCAUGUAAUUUUUCCAACGAAGGGGGUUCGGAUGAACCCCUUGGAUCCAUGUAGAUCCGCCCCUGCCCAUAGGACUCAAUUAUUUUUAAGAAGUAUUAAUUUUCAAAUUAAAAAUGUCUCUCCAAAUACAAAUAGCCUUUUACAUAUAAACAGACCUUUGCCUCACUCAUUGCUUCUUUUCUUUUUUCUAUGACCACUAUCAUCACUCAUUGCUUCCUCUUCAUACACCAGCCGAAUUCCCCAGCAUACUUCUUUCUCCAGCCCGUACAUGUGAGAAAACUCCAACAUGUAAUAAUCAUUUGGAUUCUUCCCUUCUUUAUUGCCAGAAGCAUUCCACAAUGUUUCAAAUGGUAUGUACCAGCAAUAAAUGAAAGGAUCAUUGGAAAAAGACCCACUCACCCCAUACUUCAAGGAAUAUUUUCUUUCAGGGUCAGAUUUGCAGACCAAUGUAGCUUCUAAUCUUAUGUACUUUGUAGUAGGACCGUAGGUUAUCCAAAAACCCAUGAAUUUAUUGGUAUACCAAGAUGGGUUCAGAUCAAUUGACAUCUUUUCUUGAUUUAUAAAUGGACAAUCAUAAUCGAACAACUCUGAAAUUCUGACUCUGGGAAAAGUAAUGAGAAAAUAAUCCCUUUGAUGGAAGUCACACUGCAUGCAAUAGAAUAGAGAUUAUUAUUACUACUACUAGAAAUCAAUUUGACGAGAAUAAUAUUCAACAUUCAUAUAUGAGAUAAAAACCUGGAUGCAUGUCCUGAGAAAAUGAUGUAGGAACACAUUAACUUGUUCACUUGAGACGGCUCCACAGUUGGAUAUUACGAGCCUACACAGCCUAAGACAAUUAAUUACGAGAUCUCUGAUGCUCUUCAAGGCUAAAUGAUAAUCUGCUAAUAGCUCCCUUAAAUUUGGGGGUAGCUCUCCUGGCAGUUCAUUAAGAUUCUGACAGAAGUGUAUGUUCAGACUCCGAAGGUGUAAGAGUCCUUUAAGGCUUUUUGGUAAACAAGAAAUAUUGCUUCCACUUAAACUCAAAUAUUUCAAAGUGUGCAAAGAUCCUAAAUCCUCAAAAAGUCCACUCAAGCCUAAAAUUAUCAGUUUCCCAAGCUUGGUGAUGGAGGGAGGUGGUUGGUAUAUUGCAGUUUCGCUCACAUCAAGCUUACAUAACUCUUGCAAAUCACCCAUGUUUUCUGGAAGCUUUUCUAGCUUUUUGCACCCGUUGAGUAAAAGAUAUUGAAGAUUCAUCAAAUUACAGAGGCUGUCUGGUAGACUUACAAGAUCUUCACAACGUUUCAGACAUAGCUCAGUGAGGCCGCUCAGAUUCCCAAUGGAUGAAGGCACUUCUCUUAUCCCAGUAGACUUCAGACUCAGUCGUGUCAAGCAAUGCAUAUCUCCGUUGAUUUCUGGAAAUGUAUCUAAUUUUGGGUAUUUAGAUAUCGAGAGAUCUAGAAGGGAUUCCAUCUGAAUAGAGCUUGGAAGCUUCUUUAAGUUCUCACAUCUCUCUAUUAUUAACAAACGGAGAUUCUUUUGAACUUCAAGAGAUAUGGGGAGCUUUACCAAUCCAGAACAUCCGUAUAUACAAAGAACUUUCAAUAGCUGUGAUUCGAAGAGGCUGUUUGGCAGUGUUGCAAGUUUAUUGCAACCUGAAAUUCUGAGAUCACUAAGAUUUCGAAUAGUGUCUGGAAUACAUUCAAGAAUUUCACAAUCACCCAAAUGCAACUCUCUAAGGCUGCUGAGAGACGGGGGUAAGCUUCUUAUCCAGGGGGAUCCUAGAGAGAGUUUUGAUAAGCGCCGCAUAUUUCCACAGAUUUCUGGAAAUUCUUCUAACCUUGUGCAUUCCCUGAGAUUGAGAUCCUCAAGAGAAUCCAUGCAGACAAAUUUUGGAAGCUUCUUAAGUUUGCGACAACCAUACAAACUCAAAUAAGUAAGCAUUUUGCAAUGUCCAAUAGAGGGAUGGACCUCUUCCAAAUUCACACACCCCUCUAAAUGUAGCUUCUCCAAGUUUGGUAUACCACCAAAAUUAGGGGUUUUUGUGAACUCACAGCUAUCCCUGAGAUCCAAAUGCUUCAAAUUGCUCAAUUUCUGUAUUCAUUUAAAAAAAAAACGAAAAACUAGUUAACUAAAGUAGUACUCCUAAUAGAAAUAUUUUAUGGGAAAAAAAAUAAAGAGAAGAGAAGGUUGUUAUGAUCAUUGAAGGCAGUAGAAAACGUGGAAAAGAGGGAGUCCCAUGUAAUUCUAUCAACCAAAGCUAGAACAGAUUAAAACAGAUGGAAAGAAAUCACCUAGGAGUCGUUUGGUAGAGUGUAUAAAAACAAUGCUCAAUAGAGUCUAUUAGUAAUACUUGCAUUAGUUAUGUAUAGAUUAUUUCUCAUGCAUUGUUUAGUUUGGUGUAUUAAAAAUUGUAUGCAUUGUAUAAAAAUAUUUAUGUACAAAAAUAUCCUCCACAAUUAUGGUGGAAAAGAUGUAAAAAUGCUUUUGAGGGGUAAUUGGGUCUAUGCUAAUACAUGUAUUAAAUUCAUUUGCAUUACUAAUACCUAGAAAUCCAUGGUAUUAGUAAUACACUCCACUAAUAUAGGGAUUUGAACCUGAGAUCUCAUAGUGCUCAAUCCACUUCUUUGACACCUAGUACACAUCCUUGGGUGCGCUUGCAAGUUCUUUAUUAGGUAGAUAUAAUUGCAGGAAGUAAAUUACUAUACAAUUAUAAAUCCAAAGAUUCAAAAAUAUUUACAUCAUGACUGUGAUGAAGUACUUCAUUUAUAUCGUGAAUGUCAACAAAGUUAGGUUCCGCCUAAAUAUGUUGAAGAUUUAAUUGGGAAAAGAAAGGUGAUGAAAAGAGAGAGGGAGAGAUUAUAUAUUUGAUUUUUGUGAUGAAGUUUGUACUUGUAAGAACAAUAUUUGAACUUUCAAGUGAGUGAUUACCAAAAAAAAAGAUUAAAAAAUUGGUGUUAAUUGUGUAUAACAGUACAUUUAUUUAAAGUAGCAUUUAAAUCGUGGACGGAUUAAUUUACGUGCAUUGACCUAUCAAAACAUUUAUUUCAAGCUCAUGAUUACGUUGAUUAAAAUUAGAAAAAGUAAAUUACAUGAAAGCGAGUUUAUAUACAUGAUGUUCUAUAAUUACAACUAUUUGUUCAGAUUUAUUAUUACAUUAUUCUGUACAAGAACUUUGCAACAAAUCUAGUUGAUGUAUAAUAUUUGAAAAUUUAAAACCAAAAUAGUAGAGUUAAUUGAUUUUAAUCCCUCGAAGGAGAAAACUUUGGUUCAAGCCGAUCCUAAUAGUAAUAUACAAUCAGUUAGCACACCAAUUGGAGUAUGUAGCAUGCGGACCGAAAAAGAUGGUAAUGUUAUGAGUCCUACAAUAGCUAAGGCUAUUCAAGAAAGUCAGGCUGCCAUGUUACUCAAACCCAAUUUAGCGAUCAAGCCACCCAUGGUCACAUUGAGCAUCUCAGCUCAUGAGGUCACUUCCCAAAAUUUGGAUUCACCUGAUGAACAUCAAGGUGAAUUUGGACAGCUCUUAUCAUCCACGGGAAAUGAUAAAGUUUUGGUGAAAGGUAUGUCACCACUCUGUCAAGCUAAUUUUACAAAUGAUUUGUUAAUUUCGAAAGAAAAACAACAAGGGGAGAUGAGUACUCCUAGGUGGGCUGAUUUUGGUUGAUGAAGAGAGCAUGUUUCACUCCUCUUUUGAAUAGAAAAUUAAGUCCACAAGCUCAAGAAUUUGUACCUAAAAGUACAAUUGCAAAGAAGAAUGAACAAGAGGCCUUAGCAUCAUGAUUUAGUCCAAUUAAUGCUUAUGCUAGUGAUUUGGGUGAUGAUUCUUUUGAUGAGGAUGAGGAAGAUAAUAUGUUGGACAUAUGCUUUGAUAAAGUGGCUAGAGAUGGGGAUAUCUCACCUAGGCAUCAAAGAAGUGGAAGCAACAAAAACAAAAAGAAGACACAUGGAAGACAACACAGAUGGGAUGGUAAUUUGACAGCGGAGUUUGUUCCAAGGCCCCUGCCGAUGCGACUGGCAAAGCAAAAUCAUAUGAUAGUGUCAAUAGCUUCAACAAGAUCCCAUACAUUCAAAAAGAAAUGAUGAAGUAUCAAAUUUUGUUGGACAUAUUUGAAGAAGACAAGAGGAAAAUACUUUAGGUUACUUUAGAUGGGCUAUCUAUCAUUGUUAAUUCACACAUUUGUAAAAAUAAGUUUGAGGUUGAUAACUCAACUUUCUUCUUGAAUUUUAUAUUUGUGCAUUAUUUAAGCAUUCUCAUUUGUAAUAUCAUCAUAGAGUGUAUUACGAAUUCUGUUAUGAUUAUAGAAUAUCUAGUUCUCUCUAGCUUUUAUUUUCUUCAUGCUUGUUAAUUAGUAGAGGUUCGUUACCUCAUAGGAUUUGACAAGGUAAGGCCUAGCCCCCCUUGCUUGUACUUAUUUUUUGUUGAGGAUUUUUGUUUUUAAUAAAAAAACUGCUAGACGCUCUGUCUAGUGGUAUUAAAAAUAAAUCAAUUUUGAACUAUAAAAAAUAAAGGGAAAAUGCAUAAGUACCCGCCAGCCUAUACCCGAAAUCCCAAAGACACACCUAACCUUUACUAAGGUCCUAUUACCCCCCCCCCCCCNNNNNNNNNNNNNNNNNNNNNNNNNNNNNNNNNNNNNNNNNNNNNNNNNNNNNNNNNNNNNNNNNNNNNNNNNNNNNNNNNNNNNNNNNNNNNNNNNNNNNNNNNNNNNNNNNNNNNNNNNNNNNNNNNNNNNNNNNNNNNNNNNNNNNNNNNNNNNNNNNNNNNNNNNNNNNNNNNNNNNNNNNNNNNNNNNNNNNNNNNNNNNNNNNNNNNNNNNNNNNNNNNNNNNNNNNNNNNNNNNNNUUCGGGCAUAGGCUGGGGGGGUACUUAUGCAUUUUCCCAAAAAUAAAUAAAAAAUACUUCAUUUAAGUUAUCUAUAGCCCAUUCCUAUAGAAAACAAAUACAGUUAUCCUACGUGGCACUAUCCUUGAAAAAAUUGUCAACACGCGCUGGGCCCACAAGAUAGUGCCACGUAGGCCGAAAAGGGGUAGAAAAUUAUAUAUAAAAUAAGUUCAGGGGGGUAAUAGGACCUUAGUAAAGGUUAGGUGUGUCUCAGAGAUUUGGGGCAUAGGCUGGGGGGGUACUGAUGCAUUUUCCCUAUAUUUAAAGCAAUUUCACCUUUGAAGGUUCAUAUAACAAAAAUAUAAAUAUUUAGUUAAGAUGAAUUACAGAAACAAGUAUAUAGCCAGCUGUCUAAUAAUUGUAAGAGAGUGUUACCUUUGAUAUUGGCCAAAGUUCAACAAGCCUACUUUCAGGUAAACAAAGCACAACGAGCUGUGAUGGUUCAAAGCUCUCUGGCAAUGAAAUUGAAGGAUACCCUAUCCAAUCAAUAAACCGCAGGCUGGAAGGAAGAUAAGUGACAGCGCAGUUUGAGUUAAAAGAUCCACCACCAACUAUGGGUAUUUUUAAGCUUUGCAUCCUCUUGAAAAUAUUGCUAUAAUCGACAAGAUCAUCUUCAAAAUAGUAAUCUUUAGGGAUACAUAGGCUUUCCACCUUUUCUGUUAUCUGUAUAGAAUGAAGCACAUAUUUAAUAGCUAACAAAUAAAAAUGAAACAAAAAGAUUAAUAGAACUACGAGCUUCCAAAAUUAUUAAUUACGUUAAAUAUUGCUUACCAACUUCCCUUUAAAAAGGUCACAAACUUCCUCGGGAAGCCAUAUUCUACUGUUAGCGUACUCUUCCCGUAUGACAUUUUCUCCCAUUUUUCUUAUCAUAUUAUGCAUCACAAUACUAUUAUUCAGGUCGAUUGAUAAUAGAGAUUUUUCGAUAAGGUAAUCUAUUAGAAAACCACGACUCAUAUAUCUCCGUACUAGUUCCACACAAAGAUGAAAAUCAUAUCUAGUCAAACAUGCAAUAUCUAGAAAUGCAAUAUCUAGAAAUAAUUCCUUCUCAUCUUUGUCCAGACCAUCAAAACUAAGCCUAAGCUUUCCUAGAAUAUCCUUGUCAGGAUUCUCUUCAGCCGAUCAAUUAUGUGUCUCCAGUGCUUUUUAUCUCGUCCAUAAAAUAAAUAACCCAAAACUUUAAGAGCUAAAGGGAGUCCACCAGCAUGCUUCACCACUUGUCAUGAAAGUUCUAUAAAAUCUUCUUUUGGUGUCACUUGCCUUGAAAGUUCCAAAAAUCCUUCUUUUGGUGAUUUUUCUCUAAAAGCAAGCCUACUGAACAAUUCAAGUGCUUCAUUCUCAGAUAAUAGUUGGACUUCAUACACAUUAUCCCCGACGUGACUGAUUAACAGGUGCUUGUCUCUUGCUGUUAAAAUAAUUCUGCUACCCCUACCAAACCACUCUGGCUCUCCAACCAAAAAUUCCAACUGUUCUUGAUGGUUUACGUCAUCGAUGGUGAACAGAACUUUCUUCCAGCGAAGCAUAUUCUUUAAAAUAUUCAUCCCUUCAUGCUCGCUAGUUAGAGUCAAUUUUUCACCCCAGAGCUUGCAAAUGACGACUUGUUGUAGCCAUGUUAGUCCAUUUUUUCUGGUGAAGUUUUCCAACAUCACCAAGAAAACAAUCAGCUUCAAAUCGAUGGCUGUAUCUUUGAUGUAGAACAUUUGCAAUUUCUGUUUUGCCGAUGCCGCCCAUACCCCAAAUACCAAUAGAGCGAACAUCAUUUGAUUCCAUAUCUAAUAAUGAGGUUACUUUCUCAACCUGAGAUUUCAAACCCACUAAGCUUUCCGGGAAAGGUGAAAUAAUUUGAAGUGACUUAGGAAAUAUGUCAUCAACUAGUUUCUUGAUGCACUAUGGAAAAUAACAUUGUUGGGAAAAUGAAUCAGCGAAAGGGGGAUAUUGAUGGCGUACAUCUGAUGGACUCACAUCAUAGAAGACUGAAUCACAAUCUGCUCCAAUUCCUUUUUACACUUUAUGAUGUGUGCAAGCUCCUCUAAACACCAUCUUGAGGAUGCAUAGCUUUUUGAAAAUAUUACGACAGCGAAUCUGGCAUCUUCUAUGGCUUUUAAAAGUUCAUCAGAAAUUGAUUUUCCCGCUUCCAACCGCUCAUCGUCUUUGAAAGCAUGGAUUCCUCUUAGUUCCAAAGCCUUAUAGAGAUGACUCACAAAGGUUCUACGCGUAUCUUCACCACUAAAACUCAAAAAGAUAUCGUACUUGCAAACUUUGGAAGAAGAAGCAUGAGACAUUGUUGAAGAAUAUUGCUGAAGACUAACAGGCAAGUUUAUUUCUCAGCCAUAAUUUGGUGUAUGGGGGAAACUUCCAUUCAUCUUCCUAUCUGUUACUAUAUAAAAUUAAAACAACCAGGUCAACAAGAAAGAAAAGACAAAGCUUAAUAUUAAAGAAUAAGGCUUCACCUACUUCACUAUUCCUAGGGAACUUCUUAUCAUCUUCCUAAUCCAUGAUUGUGAGAAAUUAAAAGACACAACUUGGGCCUUAGACCAAAAAAGGGAAGAAAAAACUUGUUAUCAUCUUCCUAAUUCAUUUGUACUACUUCUAAAAUAUUUUAUUGUAAAGACUUUACCUGUUUUUCAUUAUUCAAGACCUAUAUAAGAAACUACUUAUCAUCUUCCUAAUUCAUGACAUAAAAAUUUACCCUUUUACAGUAUUGCACUGAUAAAUUAAACAUAUGAGCACCAAAUUGAUACCUUUCAGUAAAUUGAUAUAAAUUUGUUGCCCUACCUGAGAAAUUGCCCACAAAUUGAAGAAAAAAUCGUAACGAUUGAGAAAAAAACACACAAAAAACAGAAAAGAAAGACUAACCUCAUCAAAGAUAUAAGCAGAAAAGAAGAGAACCACACUCUAACACUUUGUUUGGAUCAUUGUUAUCCAUUGUUUCAUAAUGUAUUGUAUUGUAUUAUACUCUAUUGUACUGUAUUGUGUUGGUUGAUACAAUGUUUGGCUAGACUGUAUUGUUUGUUGUUGUUUAAUAACAUUUUUAUUGUUUAAUUGAUUGUAUCGUAUUGCAUUGUAAUUUAUAAAUUUACUAAAACAUCCUUAAUUAUUCUAGGGUAGGAGGUUUGAUUAGAAUUAAAUAAUAUAAGGUAAAGGGUAAAUAGUAUUAUGAAAUAUUAUGUAAAGAUAUAAUUGGAAAAAGAAAUUAAGUAACAAUUGAAACACACCAAAUUGGUUGUUCCAUAAAAUGGGGUUUUUUAUUGUUACGUAACAACAAAAUUUAACAAUACAAUACAAUACAAUACAUUUUAAGUAACAAUGAAAACAAACAUUGUAGGUACAGUAACGAUACAAUACAAUAUAAUGGGUAACAAUGAUCCAAACAGAGUAUAAGAGCUCAGUGUUAAGUGCUAAAGGCAAAAUACUUUUUAAGCCCAAAAAAGAGAAAAUGGGUCUGAUAUAGUUUUUAAUUUUGUGAGUUAAGAGUUAUUCUAUAGAGAUAAGUGUCAAAAACACACUAAAUUAUCCUUUUUUUUUUUAGUUUUAUACCUAAAUUAUUGAGAGUGUGAGUUUUAUACCUAAAUUAUCAUUUUUUAGUUUGAAAAACACACCUCAGUGGUGUGUGUAAUGCACUCUCUCUUUUAUUUGAAAAAAUCUUGACACAUGACAUUCCACAUUGAUAAAAUAUUCAACCUUGACAAAAAUUUACAUAAGAGUAUUACUUGUAUUGUUUAAGUAUAAUUGCAUUACGAAAUAUAAUAAGAAUCGAUCCUUAGUAAAAAACAAGGGACUUGAUAUAAAAAGUUAAAAUAUGUAAUAGAUGUUAAAAAGUAUAAGAUCUAAAUAUCCUGAAAAUUAUACAAAUAAUUUCUCAAAUCUCAAAAAUCUUAUAAUUUCUAUAUCACAUUUCCUACCAACUAUAUUUUAUGUAUGUGAAAUAAUAAAAUUGAUAAAAAGAGAGUUGUAAAUAGCAUAUCCAUUAUAUACCUGAUGAUGAGAAGUGAAGAGCGCACAGUUGCCAAAUAAAAUCUGAAAAUGUAGAGAAAUAAAUAAGAAUUAGUUAGCAAACUCAAGAAAAUCUUCAUAUAUUAAAUAUACAUUGUUGAGAACUAAAAUGAGCAUAAGAGGAAUAAAGUAGUUACCAAUCAACAAUCUAUAUAUAAUAUAAAGCCAAAUGUAAAAAAAAGUGAUGUGGCACCUCUCUAAGGCCUUCAUUGCUAAUAUAUAUAAUAUAAAGCCAAAUGUAAAUAAGGUGAUGUGGCACCUCUCUAAAGCCUCCAUUGCUAUUUUUUUUUUUUUGACAUUUUUCUCUAUUUUAUCUUAUUUUUUAAUUAAAGAAUUAAUCAUAUUCUAUUUAGUAAUCAUAUUAAUUUAGUGUCUAUAAGUUAUUACAUUAAUUGCUAAUUAUUAUAUAUAUUAUAUUGAAGAAUGGAAAAGGUCACUAACUGAAAUCAAUAAAGCCCAAAAAAUAACCUUUUUCCGUUAUUACCCCAACUAAUAAAUUCAUAAAAUCUUUUUAUUGUCCUUUUCUUAUUCAUCCUUUUUUUUCUCCUCACUACAUUUUGUGCCUUUUUCAUUAUUUUCCUGCCUUAAUAUUUUGCAAAAAUUAACUAUAAUUUUAUUUAUUUUGUUCACCAUUUAACAUCAUUAAUCACUUUUUUCUAAUACCUUUCUCUAUUCCUUCUUAAAUAUAUUACUAAAUUACAAUUAAGACACUAAUAUCAAUAUAGUUACAAUUUUAUUGACUACUAUAUUACUCUUUUAAUUUAUAUUAUUCAAUAAAGUUACAAAUUUAUUGAUUACUAUAAAUACUAGAGCAUAUCAUCUUCACCAACAGUAAGAAUUUUUUCUCUUCUUCUUUCUUCAUUAUAUUUAUACUAAAGUGUACAUCACUUUGUUUACGGCUAAUUUUAUUAUAUAUAGAUGUCACUAACUUCUAUUAUUUACAGUGUAGAAGAUAAGAUGAGCAUAUGACAAUUUUGGGAUUUCAAACUCAAAUUCAAUUUUGAUGAGUAUUAUAUAUAAUUUAUGUUACUCUUCUCAUUUUAGUUUGUUUGAUGUCUCUUAUUUAUAGUGUUCUUUCUUAUUUAUUUUUUCAUUUGUGUUGUUUUUUUCCUCACUAUUUUUGAUUUUACUACACUUAUUAUUCCAUGCAUAUUUUUUGUGAAUAAGUUUUAUUGUUUAUAAUGGAAGAUGCAUAUGAUAAUAUUUAGGGAUUUAAGUUUAAGUUUGAUGAACAAAUCAGUAAAGGAUCCCCUCAAUUACUAAUUUGUCCAUUAAUCUUCAGUGGUAUAUUGGAUGUUGGUUAUGUCGAUAAAUUAAAUAUUAGAGGAAAGGAUCAUCUACCUUGGUACUUCUACAAAGAUUCUUUUAUCUAUUAAUUAAUUUUAAUUUAUUCUUAUACUAAAUUUUUUAAAAAAAAAUUCAGGUAAAUUGUUUUUAACCUUGAAGGCUUGAAUCGUUUAGUUCAUAGACCUUCAAGAUUUUUUUUUUUGAUUCAACAUUGUAUAUGUUUUUUUACCUUCACAAAAAAUGAAUUUAAUUUUUGUGUUGUUAUGUUAAGUUGAGAAUAAUAAAAUUAAUUUGAGAAUUCCAGAUUUUUUUUUGUUUAUGUUUACCUUUGAGAAUAAUUUAGAAAUAUUAACUAACUUAUAACUAAAGUUAAAGGAAUAUUAAUUUAUACAUAUAAUACUUUGAGUUUAAUUUAUUUGAAUACUUUAUAGUAUUUAUGUAAUUGAGGUUAUGUAUUUCUCAAUCUAUUCAUUUUAUAUAAAUAAAAUAUGUCGUAUAUUAUAAUUGUAGUAAAAAUUAGUCAAGAUAAAAAGUGAUUUAUAAAUAUUUUAUAAGCUAAGAUUAGUGAAAGGUGAAAAAAAAGGUUGAUUCAUUAUUAAAGAGAAUAAUAGCAACUUUCAUAAAAUAUGUAUAUUAAAAGGAAAAAAAAUAAGUAUGAAGAGACUGUCAUAUUUGUAUGAAAGAGUAAUUAUUUAAAAUUGUAAUUGAUCCUACUCAAAUCUCAACAAAUAUUUUAGAGCUAUUUUUAUUUGAUGAUCAAGGAUAUAAUAUUGUUUAAUGUUUUGAGCUUUCUAAAUUUGAUUUAAUAUUUGUAUUCGCGAGAAAGAUGCAAACAAAAAAAAUGUGUACAAACAAUGAAAGAUCGAUUUGAAAAAUGUCACACAAAAUUAUAAAAGUAAGAUUGAACACUAACUAAAGUUUUCAUCAACAAAUAAACUCUUGAGAAACAUUAGAAUAUAUUUUUUAAUGUAUUUUAAUUUAUUGACAUGUGAUCUUCAUAAUCUAAAAUAAAUAAUAGAUAAAGAAAAGGAAGAUGAUCAAUUAUAAUUAUCAAUAUAAUUCUAUAUCAUAAAAAAUACAAAGAAAAGUUAACUAACAGAAAAUUUUAAUUUUUGAAUUUUCCUUUAAAAUUAGUUGAAGCAAAAAAGUGAACUAACUUAAUUAUCUUAAAGGAAAGAUACUGAAAAUAUUAAAUAGGCAAAAAUAAAUAAUUGAAAAGGGAUGUGGAAAAAUGUGGCACCGAAAAUCAUUUUGAAAUGUAACUAAAAAAAAGAGAUAGAAUUACAUAAAUACAAUAAAAUUAUCCAAAUGAAAAAUAAUAGGAACAAAAAUAGAACAAGAAACUCAUAUAAACAAAAAAAAAAUNNNNNNNNNNNNNNNNNNNNNNNNNNNNNNNAAAAAAAAAAAAAAAGAGAGAGAGAGAGAAAUUUCAAAAUGUCAACUGUCAAGAAUGAAACAUAUAUAUAAUUAAUUAAUUUGUUUCUUUUUCUUAAUUAAGUUCCUGAAAUUAUGAUUUGUUUAGAAAGGUUUAAAUUUUCAGAUUUGAUUGCAUCAAUGUCUUACUAUUCUUGUCACAUUUAUAUCUAUAGUAAAGUUAGAUGUAGAUAAAGUGGUGUGGUCACUUUUUAUGAUCUAGAAAGUCAUUUAUCUUCUUUUUUUUCAUUAAUUAAUAUAACCAAUAAUUAAAAGAAUCUAUUAUAUUUAUUACAUUUAAUUAUAUAUCUCAUGAGUUAUAAAAAAAACCUUUAUUGUUUUGUAUCCUCUAUUUAUUAAUAUGUCUCAUCAAUUCUUUUUACGUAAUUUUUACAUUACAUGUAUUUUAGCUAGACAAAAUAAGAGUGAUGUAACACCUCUCUUUUCCCAAAAAUAGAAUUUAUUUAUUUAUUUUUAUUAUUCUAUUUUUUACUUUUGAUCUCAUUUUUAUCAAUAAUUAAUCAGAUAAAUUAAUUUUUUAUAAAAUAAUUUGAAAAUAUGAUUUUUAUCGUUGCAGAUAAUCAUUAUCCACAAUUAUACAAAGGAACGUGUCCAUGACCUUACAAUGCAAGUAAAAACGGACAACACCCCUCAAUACCUACACUUUUGAUGAAACUAUUGAUAUGUAUUGGUAUCAAUAAUCUUGCAAAUAGUAUGUGACUUCUUAACUUUUGAAGCUAAUGAUUCAACAAGUUAAUUUGUAUAUAUCAUUGUUCAAAUACUAUACUUAUUGAGAGUAUGAUAAAAAAAAUUAUUUUGAUAUAUUACUACAAUUCAUAUUUCUAAUUUGAAUUCUUGAAUGAAUGUAAAUUUAAUAUGAGCUCGAUACAUACUACAGUUCACUUAUAAGUUACAAUGCAUUGGAGUCAAGCAGGCGCAAAAGAAAAAAUAAAUAAUUGUGAUGUAAUGUGCUUAUGAUGUUCUUCAAUUCUGAAAGGACUGACAAUUUUACUUCUUUGUAUAGUUUAAUAUUAUUUCUUUUGUAAGUUUUAUUCUUUGUGAAGCCUUAUGUACAAAACAUAAUUUUUUAGACAUUUUAUGUCUUAACCAUAAAUUUUAAAGGAUAAGAUUCUUUAAGAGCAAUAUUUUAUUAAGAAUAAAAUAUGUUUAUGUAUUUAUCAAGAAAACAAGUUUUGUGCAGAGAUGUGAGAAGUUAACUAUGGAUGGUUUCAAAAAAAGUAGACGCAGACCAAAGAAGUAAUAGAGGGGUGAUUACACAGGAAAUAGACAUCUUUAACACUAAUUUAAUUGAAGUAAACAUAAUGUAUAAUUUUACCUUUAUAGGUUGAUAGCAUAAAAAAUUAACUCUGCGUUUUAGAAGAACAAAAAAUAAUUGUUAAAAAAAUGUUUUCGUAAAAAAUAUGUAUUAAAUAUAUUUACAUUUUUAAGCAUAUAAGCUUAUAAAUAUUUUAGAAUAAAUGAAAGGAAACUUAUGUAUAGAUACACAUAUAGAUGAAGGUUCAACUUAUUAAAUCAAAACUUACCUUUUUUAAUUAAAAUAAGGUGAACAAUUUUAGCGAUGUAGGUUUUUUUCAGAAGACCUACGAUUUUUAAGCGAUAUAAAAUCGCAAAAUAUAUAAAACAUAAGUACUAAUAAUAAACUAAAUUAAGAAUGAAAUUUGAUAUAUUUGAAUUAAACAUUACAAAGAAUUUUUAGAAUAUUUUUAACACUCAAUUAUUCUAAAAAUUAAUUAUUUGACGAAUUUAGCGAAUUAUUUCUAAUCGCACGAUGCGCGAUUAAGUUCAAUAGUUUAUAUUUAUAUAUUCAAACUUUUAUGGCAUAUAGCUGCUAAUCUAUAUAUUAUAUAAAGCUUAAAGAUGAAAGAUUAAUGUGACUUGAGUUGUAGAAGAUCACUGCACAUGCACUAGAUAUUACUCCAAUUCUAUUUGACAAGGAACAUGAAAAGUUCACGUAACUUUUGGAAGCUCAAGGGAAAAAAUAGUAAAUGUGAGAUAUGAAAUAGUAGGAUUGUAAAUUGAGUUCAAGUAAUCUGUAUUAGGUUAAUUAAUGGGGAGAUGAAAGAUUUCUAUCAAUUAAAUGUAGUUAAAUUACUGAUAAAUAACUUUUUUUCAAAAUGAUAAAAUGAUUACUCAACUUUUAACUAUUUAAUAUUUUAUUAUUUACAUGUUUUAUAACAUUUUUAUUUAGUCUAGGGGCAAAAUGGUAAUCCAACUUUGAAUGUUGGAGCUUCCCACUUACAAUAACAUAUGAUGAUGAUGAUCUAUGUAGGGGUGGAUCCACGUGGCUUCCAAGGGGUUCACGAACCCCUGGGUAAAAAAUUACACUGUGUAUAUAAGGUAAGUUUUCUGUAUUUUUGUAGAUAUAUUAAUUUAAAACCCCUUCAUAAACAUGAAGUAAGCUAUAGCAUAGUGGUAAACUUCUUUUUAAAUUGACCCUACUGUCCAGGGUUCAAGCCCCAUUGUGAGCAUUUGUAUUUUUAGCUUCUCUUCCUUUAGUUUCAGGAUCAAUCGUUUAUACUUUUAUUUUUCGAACCCCCUGAAUGAAAUUCCUAGGUCCGUCACUGGAUCUAUGACUUUUAUCAUUGUUUUCAGACCUCAUGUAUACCAAUCAAUAGCUGAAGCAAUUCAAGUUGCAAUUCGACCCCAGGCGGAAGUGCCUUUGUUGAUUCUUUUGCAAUUUGAUCAAAUAUUGUCAGGUACAGUCUUUCUUUGACUCUCAUGAACUUUACUGACGCAUAUUUUCAUCGAUUCUCCUUAUAGCUCUAUUUUCUACUUCAUACAGAUCAACCGAGACAUACUCAACUCAAUCAAUGCUUCUACUUGGUGCAGAGCAACCAAAACAAAUAUUGUAAUAAUCUUUACAUUGUUGGGCCCGGGCUAACCUUACUAGUAUAUACAAAAGUGACUAACAUAUGGUUCAUAUAUAUAUAUAUAUAUAUAUAUAUAUAUCCUUUAUCAUUAAAAGUGGUUCAGGUAUAUCAUAUUUUUCUAAUGGAAAGAAGGAAAAUUUUAAUUUUAAAUUAUAUUUUUGAUUUUUUUUAUAAAUAAAUUCUUGUAGGGUACAUAUAAUUAUUUUAGCAAAGGAUUUUUCUCACACAUGAUUUAUCUUUUUCGACUUUUGUGAUUUAACACUUAAUUUGAGUGUAAAAUAUUUCCCUUAUAGAUCUAUUUGCUUAUCAUUAUUUGAGUUUUUUAUUCUUAUAUUCUUUUAUUUUUAGUGUAAAAAUAUAAGAAAUAAAAGGGCCAGAGAAAAAAUUGGGCAAUCAUCAAAAUUGAUUAUUAUAUAUACAUUUUAAUCCUUGAUCAAAGUUUAUGGAAUCGAAUUUUGAAACUAUCUUUAAUAGACAAUAUUUCAUUUACAAUAUUUCUUAGAUAUAUGCUCAUGUGUAAGUUAUAACAAUCACACAGAAAAUGACUCAAACACCAACAUAUUUAGUGAAAUUUUGAAAGGAUGGUGGAUACUCAACGUACCUACCUUAUAAUGGUAACGAAGUUGUUUCGGACUUGAAAACCAACAUUACAAAUAAAAAUUUCAUCCAUCUAUCGUUGAUACAAACCCCUUAUAUACAAAUUGUACCAACAAUGUAGAACAUAUUCUUAACAUACCAUCUUGUAAUACGUGUUUGAUUGAAUACGAAAUUUAAGAAAGAAACAAAAGCAUUUGAAAUAUGUGAUCUAAAACAAGUCAUCAGUCAUUGCAUCCUUUUCAUACACCAGGCGAAUUCCCCAGCAGCGUAGUUCUUCCCACUUCCUGUACAAAUCAUAUACCUCCAACAUGUAAUAAUCAUUUGGAUUCUUCCCUUCUUUAUUGCCUUCUCCAUUCCACAAUGUUUCAAAUGGUAUGUAGACGCAACAAAUGAAAGGAUCGAUGAACCUCGAAUAUCGUUGGAUGCUGUUAUACUUCAAGGGAUAUUUUCUUUCAGGGUCAGAUUUGCAGAUCAAUGCAGCUUUUAAUAUUGUGUCCAGUCCAGUAGGACCGUAACAUAACCAAAAACCCAUGAAUUUAUCGGUAUACCAAGAUGGGUUCAGAUCAAUUGAGAUCACUUUUUGAUUUAUAAACCGAUCAUAAUUGAACAACUCUGGAAUUCUGUCUUGAUCAGGAAAAAAAAUGACAAAAUAAUCCCUUUGAUGGAAGUCACACUGCAUGCAAUAUAAUUAUUAUUAUUACUACUAGAAAUCAAUCAAUUUGACGAGAAUAUUCAACAUUCAUAUAUGAUGAGAUAAAAACCUGGAUGCAUAUGUCUUGAGAAAAUGCUGUAGGAACACAUUAACUUGUUCACUUGAGACGGCUCCACAGUCGGAUAUUACGAGCCUACGCAGCUUAAGACAAUUAAUUACGAGAUCUCUGAUGCUCUUCAAGGCUAAAUGAUAAUCUGCUAAUAGCCCUUUUAAAUUUGGGGGUAGCUCUCCUGGCAGUUCAUUAAGAUGUGUGCAAUUCCUUUUUACACUUUAUGAUGUGUGCAAGCUCCUCUAAACACCAUCUUGAGGAUGCAUAGCUUUUUGAAAAUAUUACGACAGCGAAUCUGGCAUCUUCUAUGGCUUUUAAAAGUUCAGCAGAAAUUGAUUUUCCUGCUUCCAACCGCUCAUCAUCUUUAAAAGUGUGGAUUCCUCUUUGUUCCAGAGCCUUACAUAGAUGACUCACAAAGGUUCUACGCGUAUCUUCACCUCUAAAACUCAAAAAGAUAUCGUACUUGCAAACUUUGGAAGAAGAAGCAUGAGGCAUUGUUGAAGAAUAUUGCUAAAGACUAACAGGCAAGUUCUCAGCUUUGGGUAUAUAUUUGUUGUGCUGCUUAAUAAAGAGAAAUAUUCGAAGCCUAACUGGCGAAAUUAUUUCUCAGCUAUGUGAAUGCAUAAUUUGGUCUAUGGGGAAACUUCCAAUCAUCUUCCUACAAAUUGUAGAAUUACAUAUUUGUAGUUAUAUACAUUUUUCCAUAGGGUCUUUAAUAAUAUCCUUCAUCUUUGAAUCUUCUCCAUAGCAUCUUUGAAUUCUUCCUCCUGUUGAGAAAAUGACUCAACCAAUGGUGACUCACAUCAAUUUUUUCUUUCUUAUUAUAGUUAGUCUCUAGGGCAGCUUGAGCACACCUCGACUAAUUCCACAAGUCACUUUAUAAAUCAAUUAAUACGUUUAUUAAUAAUCUUCUAAGAACAACUAUCUUUUCCAUUCACCAGUGUUACAUGCCUCUUCAAUUCCUUAGAUGUAUAUCUCAUGUUUCACUUGUUCUUCUUUUUCCUUUUUAUAACAAGUUUAUCUAUUUUAAAUAUUACUCUUGAAAAUUCCGAUGGUGUAAGAUGAAUAUCAUUGAACUUCAGCUUAAGAAACCUACGAAUUUCCGUAGUUCAUUAGUUGACUAAUUCCACAGGAUACCUCCCACCUCCCACCAACAACAAGUAUCAGGUAAGUCUAUCCAUCAGGGAUAGGACAAGGAUAAAUGGGAAGACACCUAAUGUUUUUGUCUUCGUUGGAAUUUGAACCUAAGGCGCCAUGGCUCUCAACCACUUCAUUAACCACUAGGCCACACCCUUUAUUGGGAACUACUAUCAUCUCCCUAUUUCAACUCAUAAAACUGUAUCCUAGAUAUUCAUUAUUGUGAUAAAUUAAAGUCAUUACAUUUUUACUGCUUUAAAAUACUUUAUUGUAAUAUGGUCAAAAUUAACCCCAAGUUUCGACAUAAGAAGACAUGCAAUACGAGGAAUUCCAAGGAUUCGGUCACCCAUCAAAUGGGUCCAACCUCUAAUGAAGUUCAUAUGCAGGAUCAUUGUUCAAUGGGGACCAACUUCUUAGAAAUUUCCAGAAUGUUAUAUUCUAGGUGUUUUGAUGAUCCUCACAAAUGCAGGAAUCUGGUCCCUGGCAGAAUGCUCUCAUCCAAAUUCAAAUGGGAUACAGUUGUAAAGUUGUCAUGUCAGGUGGUAGGUGAAAAGCGCAGUGUACUGCACCAACAUGAAGAGCGGACGAGACUAUCUAUUUCAGUGUCUCACAAAUGCAGGGACCUGGUCUCGGGCUGAGUUCUCUCGUCCAGAUCUAUAAUGGGGUACAACUGGAAAGUUGUCGCGUCAGAAGUUGGUGAGGUCGUCAGUGUACUACACAAUCAAAAUCGGCGAGGUUGUUGUCCAACGGUCAAUAACUCCUUAUGAUUGACUUAGUUAACAUUACAAACAACAAAUUAAUUCAUUCAUUCAAAAGGAGAGAGAGCCAACACGUCUUCUCAAGAACUUACUAAGAAAAGUCUGUAAGGGACCUGGUCCCGGCAAGACUGUGUAUGUGAAAGGAAGACAACACAACUGUAAAGUUGUCACUUCUGAUGUGACACUAGUGCACGUCUUUAAAGAGAAGGUAGGCUCUUAGCCAAUGGGCAGUCCCAAGGAGUUUGUGGUCAUUUUAAUAUAGUCUCUUCCAACAAAAUACAAACUCAAGAUUUGGCAAGCUAAAACUCACAAGCAAAAAAAGAAGAAAGCCAUCUUCAACGAAGAACUCAAGCACAAGAACACAUACAACAAGGACCUGAUCAAGAGAAAGAGUGCUUUCCGUACCAGCUGCUGUUCUUGAUUGUUUGUAUUUGUACUUAACUUGUAGGAUUCGUUUCCCUCUUGUUAGAAAUGUUUCAAAACUUUGUUUGAGUCUUGUAAGAACAUAGUUAGGGGUAACUUUGUGUUUUACGGUCAAAAGUCUAUAUUAAUAAGUGAGGGUUAGUAUAGUGAGCAGUGUUGUAUCUGCUUAGGCUCGGUUGAGUAAUAGAUGAUAUUACUUAGUGUGGAGAUGUCAUGACCCGAGCCUACACCCUGGGUGGGACAUGCACUCGGAGACCAUUGCAGGCCCCAAGCGAACCCUUGGCCUGCUCACUUACUCAGCGGAAGACAAUAGUCGCAUCUAUAUUGAUACCUGGACUUAAUUGAACUGAAUAGAAAUAUCUGCAAAUGUUUUAAAAUAUUAAACAUUCAACUUGGCCAAAAGUGGCAACCCAAGUCUCAACCAUCAAAACAGGAAACAAAAGACUCAAGAACUAACUGUCUAUCUAUGAAGCCUCUAAAACAACUGAGAUGGAUGUUGGGACAAGCCCUACAACAUCCUAAUGAACUAAACUAGAAAGUAAUGAAAUGGAUCCUCCGGAAUGCAAUAAGGCUCACCAACUGACUCUGAGUGUUGAACAUGAUCAACGAGGCGUUGGAUGCUGAUCCUGGUUACCUGUGUCUGCAUCAUAAUACGAUGCAGGCCAACUGGCAUCAGUACAUUGAAUGUAUGAGUAUGCGAGUUGGAAUGCUAAAACAACAUAGGCUAGAAAGAAUCUGAGAGAAACUGAAGAACUUACCUGGCUCAACUCAACUCAACCUAACUGAACUCAUUUCAAUAUAAAGCAAUUUAAAAACAAGUGCAAUAUAAAGAAAAGAACUGUUUGAAAACACGACAUCAACUCUGUAUGUAUGCAAAGAUACAAAUAACUCUGAGAUGUAUGUAAAAAUACAAAUAAACUGAUGUAUAUAAAAAUACAAUACUUCUGUGGGAGUUUCUCUAACCGACAACCAUCACUUCAGAGCUAUAGUGAUGAUACAACGAUCUUCCUCACGCUGCCAGCGCAUCCUAUACCCGGCCAAAUGUAUAAGACCUGAAUUACCUAAUGGAUCCACUAGUCUAUUUCGAAAAGGGUUCAUCAUAAAAGUAUGACCCAUUUCUACCCAUGGUGGCUACAUGGUUUUAUGGAGAUGUGAGUUAUCUGAACUCAUGCUCGUCUCCAAUUCAGUGCUCAAUACUACUCCCAAAAUAUAUUGGCUCUUAUGUUUUAAAAACAUAUUUCUUCUGUGAUUUGAGAUUAGUGCUCAAAAACUUAGCUCAAAAGCUAUCUUGGAAAUCUCAGUUUCCCUGCUUGCUUCAUUUAGAAAGCUAUUACUCUUUUAUGAAAACUAGCCCAAAGGCUCUUUGGAAAUCUCAGUUUCCAUUCUUAUUUAAAUGUGAAAGACAUUUACUUUGGGAAAUACUUAGUCCCCAUAUGCUUCUUUGAAGAAAAGAACUCCGACUUAACUCUUUACUGAACUCAAAACUUAAGCCUUAAAACAAAGUUAAAACAUUUGUGAAAGACCUUUUUGAAAACUUUAAGAACUUAUCUUAACUUGACUCUUGACUUCUCUUGACUUUGACUCUUAACUGAUCUUGACUUGGCUCUUAACUGAUCAUUGAAUUGAAUUAUGGAUUCAAGGAUUAAGAUUUGUGAUUGGAAAGAUCUCAUGUUGUUUUAGGAAUGAUUUUUAGAUAGCUAAACAUAAGAAAAGACCGAAACUCAAAAUACGAAAGUGGGUCCGCGACGCGGAGGCAUAAUUUAAUUUUGGUUUCGAAAAUGUCUUUUGAGGCAGAACACCUUGUGUCAGCUCCGCGACAUGAAGCAUAAAUUUUCAAAAUAUGGGACCAAGAGGGCGACGCACAACCACUUUCUUCUUCGUUUUCCAGCCCCAAUUCACCCAAACACGGUUCUUUUUCUUAAAUUACUCGUAGAUACAGAUACCUAGCAAAUGUACCUAAAAACCUAACUCGAAACGACCCUAUAAUGCGACGUAACAAACUCAGAAACUUCCCAACUCAGGCAAAUUCAGGAACAAUAUAUUAAUUCAAGAAUAGGCAUCAAGAUCAUCAAUAUUCAUAUGCUUUUAGGACGAAUCCAAACUGUAAUAAAUAUGCUUGGCACGUGGGAGAACGAUCCCAACGUUAUGAGAGCCUCACAUACCUGAUCGAAUCAAAUCCUUAGCGAAAACACCAACCUUCUUGAUGAUAUAGCCCCUUUCUUCUUCCUCUUUUCUCUUCUCCUUUCUCCUUAGCCCUAGCGUGGAAAUUCUGGUUUUCUAAAACUGACUAAGUUCUGAAUUUACCCAUAUUAAACCCCUAAAAUCGGAUUAAAAUAAUAAGGUAGCGAAAAGACUACAAUACCCUUUAAAAUCCCGGUUUUGGACAUUUCCUUAAUCCAACAGCCUAACUUCCAAAGGGCAUAACUUGCUCAUACAAACUCGGAAUCGCGCAAACUUGGCGGCGUUGGAAAGAUCAUUCCAAGUUUUUUCCAACCAUAUAUGGAAUUACACCUAAAUCAUCCUGAGCUAGGAGUUAUGGCCGUCUGAAGUUGACCAAAAAAUCAGCUUUAACUUACAAUUUUCCAGAUUUGCUUGUACUUUCCAAAAAUAACUAUUUCCAGAUUUUAAACUUCUUUCUAGUUCUUUCUAGUUGUGGGAUGUUAUAGGAGAUUAGCAGGUUAAUCUCAAGGUGUAAACUGCGUUUUGCUUUUGCUUGUGAAGAUUCGUGAAAGCAGUUUGAAAAGUCUUGUGAGACAGGUAGGGGUGUUCAUGGUUUGGAUGAAAACCGAUCCAAACCGAAAAACUGAACCAAACCGAUUAAAUAAACCAAUUUUUAUUUGGGUUAGGUGUGGUUCGGUUUUAUAUUUUUAAAAACCGAUAGUAUAUGGGUUGGUUAUGUGGUUUUGUUCAAAAAAACCAAAGAAAUAACCGAACCGAACCGACAAAUUAUAUACAUAUAUAUUAUUAAUAUACAUACAUAAUAUAUUAUUUUUAUAAACAAUUUUAAAGAUCUUAUAUGUGUUUUCAUCAAAAUUUAUUUAUAAUUUACUUAUGAAGGAAAAAAUGCCCAAGGUGAGGAUAUUUAUCUUAUUGAUUUUAUGUAUAUGAGUCUCCCGGAAACAGCCUCUCUACCUCCACGAGGUAGUGGCAAGGUCUGCGUACACUUUACCCUCCCCAGACCCCACCUAGUGGGAUUUCACUGGGCAUGUUGUUGUUGUUGAUUUUAUGUAUAUGAGUGUGUCUAUGACAAUUCUUUAUAAGAUUGAAAAUAUCACUUUCUCUUUCUUCUAAGCCAAAAUAAUGAAUUUUGAAGCUUUAGUUAGAGUAAAUUCAAUGAUUGAAAGUUCUGUAAUGUCAGUCAUUCUAACUAUUUUCAUUUUAAAUGGAUUGUUGUCACUUUUUUCAUGUUUUGAAUGAAUUAUUUCUUUUAUUUUGUCUAUGGUUAAUAACCGAAUAACCAAACCAAACCGAACCAAAACCGAUAACUACCAAACCGAUAAAUAUAUACUCCCUCUGUCCCAUUUUAUGUGGCACCAUUUCCUUUUUGGUCAGUCCCAAAAAGAAUGUCACAUUUCCUUAUAUGGUAAGUUUAUAAAGGUACAAUUCCUCUUUUAUCCUUGUUGGUCCCACUUAAUCUUAAAAUAAUACUCCAAUACAUUUAUGAGGAGAGAGAAAAAAAGUCUACUUUUUAAAGGGCAAUUUGGUAAACAUUUCAAAAUCUUCAUUUAUUUCUUAAACUCCGUGCCCGGUCAAAUGUUGCCACAUAAAAAUGGGACGGAGGGAGUACUAUAUUUGGUUUGGUUUGGUUUUGAUAAUUUUAAAACCGAUUAAGUUGGUUUGGUUUUGGUUUUGACCAAUAACCGAUCCAAACCGACCCGUGAAAACCUCUUGAGACAGGUCAUGGUUUUACUCCCUUGAGCAAGGAGGUUUCCACGUAAAACACUUGUGCAAAUCUUACUUCCAGUUGUUUAUUUUCUACACAUUUUUAGUUACUGUUCUUGCUGAGUCAAGGGACCUGGUCCUUGACUGAUAGUGGAUGCAUACAUUCCAACAAGUGGUAUCAGAGAUUGACUUUUCUAACUGGUUAACAACAAGAAAAGAAAAGAUCUUGAAGGAAUGGCUGCACCACUAAACAGGCAGAGAAGUUAGUCCCCUGUAAGACCUCCUCUUUUUGAUGGUCAGUUCUAUAGACACUAGAGGAUUCGAAUAAGAGACUAUCUUAUAGCUGAGGACGUUGAGGUAUGGGACGUCAUACAAAAAGGUCCUUACGUGCCAACCAUUGAGAUUAAGGAUGGAGAGAUCACUAGAGUCAUUAUCAAAACUCGUCAACAAUAUAAUGACUCCGAUAAAAAACUUGUCCAGAAAAAUUAUAAAACCAAAAAAUUGCUGAUGUGCGCCAUUUGAAUGAACAAAUACGAUCUGAUCUCAUCGUGCGAAUCAACCAAAGAAAUUUGGGAUCUACUGAGAAUACCUAUGAUGACAUUGAGGAAACAAGGAAAUCUAAGCUAGAUUUCUUACUGCUGAGUUCGAAAGUUUCACCAUGAGAGAAAGUGAAUCUGUUCAUGAAAUGAGCAAAAGAUUCUCCACCGUUACAGACGAGCUCAUGCUCCUUGAAAAACCAGUGCCCAUGUGCAAGCAAGUCUCCAAGAUACUGGAAAUUCUUCCCAAAUCUUGGACAAAUGACCUUGUGAUCAGCAAUGAGACAAGAGAGCUUGAAGUAGUGACAUUGUGUACACUAUUUGAGCAUCUUCAAGAUCAUGAGAUGCACAGAAAAGGAAAGGGUCUAAGUCUCAAGGGUGAAGACAAAGAGGGGGACCAGGUUCGUGACAAUCUAAGCAGAAAAUAGACCUUUUUCUAGGCAGUAAAAAAGGAUAUGGCAGCAUGGAAAAAUUCCUCAAGUGAUUCAGAUGAUUCUAAACACUCUAAUGAUGCUCUCAUGGCAAAAUCAAAUGAGGAAGAUGAUGAUGAAAAGAUAACUCUAUCAUAUUUCAAGCAAAACUUGAAUACUUUUUCUACCAGUAAAUUGAGAAAGCUAGUUGUUGUACUACUUGAUUUGAUAAGUGAGCUAACAACUGAGAAUGAUCUCGUGAACAAUAGUCUAGAUAUCUCUCAAGAUGGAAAAAUUGCUUUAGUUGCCCAAAUAUCUGAUAUUGAAUAUCAAAUGGUUGUUCUAGAAGUUGAAAAUCUAGAACUGAAAGAAAAGAUGAAAGAGGUAACUAAUACAGUUUCUAAAGGAAAGAACGAGGCAAACAGCUUGCAGCUGGAGCUUGAAAAUAAGCUGUAUACUACUGAAAUGAAGAUGGAAUUGGCUUUAGAAAGAAAUCUUGAGUUGGAAAGGGACCUGGUCCGUGUAAAAGAGGAACUUGAAAAAUCCCUCAAAUUGAACAAUUCCUCUAUGAUCCUUACAAAUCUACUUGGUCAAGGAAACAACAGUAAAAGAGGGGUGGGCUGCGAAAAGAUCUUUCCCCCAUACAAUCCUCACAACAAAUCUGUUUAUGAUGCUGAUGAUCUGAUGUGUGUGCAUUGUGGUCAAGAUAGACAUCUUAAGAGAGAUUGUCCUGUGUUGAAAAAGUAUGGAAGAAGUUCGUCAAACUAUUCCAAACAGCGGAAUAGACUGAAGAAGGGACAUGGUCCUUCUUAUGGUCCUAAGUUGAAGAAAAGCAGUAUGGCUCAUUGGACAAAAGAUUUUAUUAUCACUCCGUUAUCUGCUUACUGGGAACUCUGUCUCAAAUGGGUUCCCAAGGCUAAUAAGUGAUUUGAUAUGCAAGUGAGAGAAAGUAGUAACAGUCAGUGUUGGUUUAUGAAUAACGGAUGCUCAAAGCACAUGACUAAGAAGGCUACACAACUUCCUCUCUCUCAAAGCACUUCAAGGUAGAGGUGUCUCUUUUGGCAAAUGGCAAGAAAUGGUAUGUUCUUGGUGUAGGUAUGACUUGAAAGUCUGUGAAACAUUCUUUUUAAAUUGUGUACUAUGUCAAUGGUUGAAGUACAAUAUUUUAAGUGUUUGACAGAUUUGUGAUGAAUGAAAUAAAGUUAAGCUCUUAUAAGAUAACUGUGGUGUCAGAAACUUGCUCUCUCGGGUGAUGAUCUUGACAUAAAAGAAAUGCAAGAACAUGUAUAUUACGGAUCUAAAUAUUGCUCGUGGUGACUGUCUAACUUGCCUUAGUGCUCAAGGUAAGAAUGUUGAGGUAUGACACAAGAGACAUGCUCAUGUGAGUGCUUCUCUACUGCAUAAACUUUUGUCAAAGGACCUGAUGCUCGAUCUGCUCAAAAUGAAAUUUGCAGAUGGCAAAGGUUGUGAUUGUGGUGUUGAAGAGAAGCAGAUCAGACCAUCCUUCAGGUGGAAUAAACAUGCUUUCAAUCUUUCAAAAAACUUUCGGGCUGAAGUGGUGAACACUACAUGUUUUGUGACCAAAAUGAUGAUAUUGAGAAGUUUGAUCUCAAUAUUGAUGAAAGAAUAGUUGUGGUAUACUCUUUUGCCAACAAGGCUUAUCGGGGUGUCUAAAAAGGUGGUCAUGUGAAUUUUUUAUGAAUCUGGAAGAGUUGAGAAGUUGCAAAAGAAAGAAGAUUGUGACAUGGAAGGGUUGCUUCAAAUUCAGAGAGACGGUUUUAAUAAUGAGCUUGCUGAAGAAUAUCCUCUUCAUGAAUACAACAAUCUCAAGGAAGCUAUGCAGAUGAUGAACCUGAUGAGGGACCUGGUCCAUUAGGCAGUGCUGAACAAAGAUGGUGCAAUUCAAACUGAUAAUGUGAAUUCUGAAGGUGAGAAUGAAGAAGCUGAUCAAGCUCAAUUUGAAAGAAGCAAAGUAUAACACUCGGUUCCCCAACAAGCUGAUAGGUUAUCCAAAUUCCUCCUCAACAAUGGCUUCAAAAGAGGUAAAAUUGACAAAACCCCUUUUGAAAUCACAAGGAAAGAAAUUGUUGAUUAUUCAAGUACAUAUUGAUGAUGUCAUCUUUGAAGCAACCUUUGAGGUAUUGUGUGAAGAGUUUGUUGCACUCAUGAAUAGUGAGUUUGAAGUAAGCAAAAUGGAAGAAUUAAAUUUCUUCUUAGAGCUACAGAUUUAGCAAACCUCUAAAGGUACCCUCGGUUGUCCAGAAAAGUACAUAAAUGAGUUUCUCAAAUGACUUAACAUACUUGAAGUCAAGACAAUGAUAAAGAGGGGUAAUGUCAUCAUGAAGUUUUGCAAAAUGAAAGAUCAAGUGGAUGACAUCUUCACCAAAGCCCUAGAAAGGACCAGUUGUAUACACUCAUAGAGACUUAGCUACAGGGAAAAAGAUAGCACAUCGUUCAGGGGAAUUGAUGUUUGAUCAAAGACUGGGACCUGGUACCGGUUCAAAGAAGCAGCUGAAAAAGUUUCAUGUUAUGGAUGCCUAGACAAUUCAUACUCCCAUGGGCACUAACUUGCUGUUGGAUGCUGAUGAACCUGGUUCAGAGACUCCAUUCUUGUAGAAAUGAAUCACAUUUGAGGGCUACUAAGAGAAUCCAAAGACACUUGAAGAAAACAAGGACUUGGUUCUAUUCUGUCCACCAUGAGCCUUUUUGAUUUGGAGGAACAUAUGAUGUUGAUUAUGCUGGGUAUCGAGUUGAUGGAAAGAGUACCUCAGGAGUGGCUUAUGUUAUUGGCUGAUCUCUCACUCAUAGGGAACUAAAAGGAAAGAUUCAUUUGCUCUUUCAACAACUGAGGCAGAGAAUGUAGCAACUGCAGCUUGAUGUGCUCAAUCUUGUUGAUCAAGCAGCACGUUGGAGCUCUUAGAAGACCUGGCUGAGAUAAUCAAACUGAAGUUGGCAAUGCUGAAACCUUAUUGAACAGAACCUUUCUGAAGCAAUCAACCCUCACAUGACUAUGCAAAGGGAACAAGUAUCCUUGCUUUUCAGUUAUAUAUGUUUUAGCAAAUUCAGUUUCAUACCUUUUGUAGGUAUACACACAUGGAGAAAGGGCUGAAGGAAAGGAGAAGUCAGGACAGAUCUAGGCAAUCAUAUUCAAACUACAGAGAGGGACCUGGUCCGUUCUCGAAGGUUAGCACUCUUAACAUUGCAUUUUGAAUUAUGCAUGAGAACUAUUGAAAUUGCCACAUGUCUGUCAUUCAGGUAUCUGACUACUACCUCAUCUUUUGAAUACCAAUGACACUUCCUUUCACAUGAUACACCCGUUUCAUUUUCUUUAUAUUCCAUAUUUCUUUCCAUCUCCCCAGAAAAUUCAAUUUCCCUUCCAAAUAGCAGAGUUUUUCGAAACUCUCUUUUCUCCUCUCUCAAAAACACUUCAAAUUGUUAAACCCUUUGUUCUUAUUGGAGAAUUUUUUGAUGAAGAUGUGUUUAAGUGUGAAGGGGACCAGGUCCACCAAUCAAAAGGAAGAAGUGGAAAAGAUGAUGUUCAAAAGGGAGAAGUUGAUAUUCUGAGAACUCAAAGUAUUCUGAAAAGGAGGGUGUCUGUUUUUUUUUAAAAAUAAUGAAAAAAAAUGUUUGAAAUGAAAUUUUCCUUUUUGGUUCCUCAAUUAUUGAUCUAUUCAUCUCGAAGGCCUUGAGUAAGUUUGAUUUUACUAAUCUUUCUGUUAUGAGAAACUCAGACUAGUGUUGGAAGCUAUGACAAUUGCUCUUGCUAAUAGGGAUACUAAAACGGUUUGCCUAAAGGCUUAGCUUCUAAAAAAACACUAUCAGAGGGAUCAGGUUGAAAAAAAAAACUGGCAGCCUUGAAGGUUCUGCAUGAAGACUGGCAGUAAAGCAUGUUGAACUUUAAGACAAAUUCUAAAAAAAAAAACAUGCUAAGGGAUAUGAUCUACUAAUUCUAUUCUUUCAAUCCCUUGAUGCUAAGUCAUCCCCUCUCUUCCUAAAUUCUCAUGUCAGUCCUCAUUCUUCUUUUUCUAUCGAAACUGAGUAGGCAUUGUCUGGUUCUCAUUCGUAAUGAUAUGUGCAAUGCUUUGAUUGCUGAUCUUGUAUUUAUGAAUGACAAAUGCCUUGUUUCUACUGCCUUGUCUCAUUACUUUAUGCAUUUUUACUCAUGCUCAGUGUUGCCCAAGUGGCCAUGAAUUUGCUUGAACUGUAUUUCUAUCAACUUGGUUUACUGCUUUAACCCCUUUUUAUGAUGUCAAAAGGGGGAAAAAUUGUUAAGGUAUGAGAUCAAUGAUGUUAGAUACUUGAAGAGGACAUAGUCAUGCCGAUAGGGGGAAUAAAUGUAGCACUUGAAGAGGACAUGGUCAUGUCGAUAGGGGGAAUAAAUACUAGCUACUUGAAGAGGACAUGGUCAUGUCGAUAGGGGGAAUAAAUACUAGCUACUUGAAGAGGACAUGGUCAUGUCGAUAGGGGGAAUCAAUGCUACUUGAACAACACAUGGUCAUGUUGCUGAUAAGGGGAAGAAGUUGAACAAGUUUGUCAUCAUCAAAAAGGGGGAAAAUGCUAUUUUGAUGUUUUGAUGAUUUGACAAACUUUCAGGAUAAUGAAACUCCAGUUACUUGAAGAGUUCUUGUUGAUAGGGGGAACUAGUGAAUAAGUCUGCUAUCAUCAAAAAGGGUGAAAAUGUUAUUUUGGUGCUGAUGCUAAGUUUUGAUGAUUUAACAAACUUAGAGAUCUAACAAGGAACCAGAUCCUUGUUAUUAGGACUGAUGACAGUGAAUUGAAUGAAUAAACUCAGUGUGAGGAAUAUUUGUGUGUAAUAAUCAAAAAGGGGGAAAAUGUUAUAUUCUAGGUGUUUUGAUGAUCCUCACAAAUGCAGGGACUUGGUCCCUGGCAGAGUCCUCUCGUCUAGAUUCAAAUGGGGUACACUGUAAAGCUGUCACGUCAGGUGGUAGGUGAAAAAUGCAGUAAGCGUAGUGUACUACACCAAUACGAAGAGUGGACGAGACUAUCUGUUUCAGUGUCUCACAAAUGCAGGGACCUGGUCCCUGGCUGAGUUCUCUCGUCCAGAUCUAUAUGUGGUACAACUGGAAAGUUUUCACGUCAGAAGUUGGUGAGGUCAUCAGUGUACUACACCAAUCAGAAUCGACGAGGUUGUUGUCCAACGGUCAAUAACUUCUUAUGGUUGACUUAGUUAACAUGACAAACAAGAAAUUAAUUCAUUCAUUCAAAAGGAGAGAGAGCCAACACGUCUUCUCAAGAACUUACUAAGAAAAGUCUAUAAGGGACCUGGUCCCUACAAGACUGUGUACGUGAAAGGAAGAUAGUACAACUGUAAAGCUAUCACUUCUGAUGUGACAGGUGCACGUCUUUAAAGAGAAGGCAGGCUCUCAGCCAAUGGGCAGUCCCAAGGAGUUUGUGGUCAUUUUAAUAUAGUCUCUUCCAACAAAACACAAACUCAAGAUUUGGCAAGCUAAAACUCACAAGCAAAAAAAAGAAGAAAGCCAUCUCCAAGGAAGAACUCAAGCACAAGAACACAUACAACAAGGACCUGAUCAACAGAAAGAGUGUUUUCCGUACCAACUAUUGUUCUUGAUUGUUUGUAUUUGUACUUAACUUGUAGGAUUCGUUUCACUCUUGUUAGAAAUGUUUCAAAACUUUGUUUUGAGUCUUGUAAGAACAUAGUUAGGGGUAACUUUGUGUCUUACGGUCAAAAGUCUAUAUUAAUCAGUGAGGGUUAGUAUAGUGAGCAGUGUUGUACAUGCUUAGGCUCGGUUGAGUAAUAGGUGAUAUUACUUAGUGUGGAGAUUAGAAGGUUAAUCUCAAGUUAUAAACUGCGUUUUACUUUUGCUUGUGAAGAUUAGUGAAAGCAGUUUGAAAAGUCCUGUGAGACAAGUCGUGGUUUUACUCCCUUGAGCAAGGAGGUUUNNNNNNNNNNNNNNNNNNNNNNNNNNNNNNNNNNNNNNNNNNNNNNNNNNNNNNNNNNNNNNNNNNNNNNNNNNNNNNNNNNNNNNNNNNNNNNNNNNNNNNNNNNNNNNNNNNNNNNNNNNNNNNNNNNNNNNNNNNNNNNNNNNNNNNNNNNNNNNNNNNNNNNNNNNNNNNNNNNNNNNNNNNNNNNNNNNNNNNNNNNNNNNNNNNNNNNNNNNNNNNNNNNNNNNNNNNNNNNNNNNNNNNNNNNNNNNNNNNNNNNNNNNNNNNNNNNNNNNNNNNNNNNNNNNNNNNNNNNNNNNNNNNNNNNNNNNNNNNNNNNNNNNNNNNNNNNNNNNNNNNNNNNNNNNNNNNNNNNNNNNNNNNNNNNNNNNNNNNNNNNNNNNNNNNNNNNNNNNNNNNNNNNNNNNNNNNNNNNNNNNNNNNNNNNNNNNNNNNNNNNNNNNNNNNNNNNNNNNNNNNNNNNNNNNNNNNNNNNNNNNNNNNNNNNNNNNNNNNNNNNNNNNNNNNNNNNNNNNNNNNNNNNNNNNNNNNNNNNNNNNNNNNNNNNNNNNNNNNNNNNNNNNNNNNNNNNNNNNNNNNNNNNNNNNNNNNNNNNNNNNNNNNNNNNNNNNNNNNNNNNNNNNNNNNNNNNNNNNNNNNNNNNNNNNNNNNNNNNNNNNNNNNNNNNNNNNNNNNNNNNNNNNNNNNNNNNNNNNNNNNNNNNNNNNNNNNNNNNNNNNNNNNNNNNNNNNNNNNNNNNNNNNNNNNNNNNNNNNNNNNNNNNNNNNNNNNNNNNNNNNNNNNNNNNNNNNNNNNNNNNNNNNNNNNNNNNNNNNNNNNNNNNNNNNNNNNNNNNNNNNNNNNNNNNNNNNNNNNNNNNNNNNNNNNNNNNNNNNNNNNNNNNNNNNNNNNNNNNNNNNNNNNNNNNNNNNNNNNNNNNNNNNNNNNNNNNNNNNNNNNNNNNNNNNNNNNNNNNNNNNNNNNNNNNNNNNNNNNNNNNNNNNNNNNNNNNNNNNNNNNNNNNNNNNNNNNNNNNNNNNNNNNNNNNNNNNNNNNNNNNNNNNNNNNNNNNNNNNNNNNNNNNNNNNNNNNNNNNNNNNNNNNNNNNNNNNNNNNNNNNNNNNNNNNNNNNNNNNNNNNNNNNNNNNNNNNNNNNNNNNNNNNNNNNNNNNNNNNNNNNNNNNNNNNNNNNNNNNNNNNNNNNNNNNNNNNNNNNNNNNNNNNNNNNNNNNNNNNNNNNNNNNNNNNNNNNNNNNNNNNNNNNNNNNNNNNNNNNNNNNNNNNNNNNNNNNNNNNNNNNNNNNNNNNNNNNNNNNNNNNNNNNNNNNNNNNNNNNNNNNNNNNNNNNNNNNNNNNNNNNNNNNNNNNNNNNNNNNNNNNNNNNNNNNNNNNNNNNNNNNNNNNNNNNNNNNNNNNNNNNNNNNNNNNNNNNNNNNNNNNNNNNNNNNNNNNNNNNNNNNNNNNNNNNNNNNNNNNNNNNNNUUCAGUGUCUCACAAAUGCAGGGACCUGGUCCCUGGCUGAGUUCUCUCGUCCAGAUCUAUAUGUGGUACAACUGGAAAGUUUUCACGUCAGAAGUUGGUGAGGUCAUCAGUGUACUACACCAAUCAGAAUCGACGAGGUUGUUGUCCAACGGUCAAUAACUUCUUAUGGUUGACUUAGUUAACAUGACAAACAAGAAAUUAAUUCAUUCAUUCAAAAGGAGAGAGAGCCAACACGUCUUCUCAAGAACUUACUAAGAAAAGUCUAUAAGGGACCUGGUCCCUACAAGACUGUGUACGUGAAAGGAAGAUAGUACAACUGUAAAGCUAUCACUUCUGAUGUGACAGGUGCACGUCUUUAAAGAGAAGGCAGGCUCUCAGCCAAUGGGCAGUCCCAAGGAGUUUGUGGUCAUUUUAAUAUAGUCUCUUCCAACAAAACACAAACUCAAGAUUUGGCAAGCUAAAACUCACAAGCAAAAAAAAGAAGAAAGCCAUCUCCAAGGAAGAACUCAAGCACAAGAACACAUACAACAAGGACCUGAUCAACAGAAAGAGUGUUUUCCGUACCAACUAUUGUUCUUGAUUGUUUGUAUUUGUACUUAACUUGUAGGAUUCGUUUCACUCUUGUUAGAAAUGUUUCAAAACUUUGUUUUGAGUCUUGUAAGAACAUAGUUAGGGGUAACUUUGUGUCUUACGGUCAAAAGUCUAUAUUAAUCAGUGAGGGUUAGUAUAGUGAGCAGUGUUGUACAUGCUUAGGCUCGGUUGAGUAAUAGGUGAUAUUACUUAGUGUGGAGAUUAGAAGGUUAAUCUCAAGUUAUAAACUGCGUUUUACUUUUGCUUGUGAAGAUUAGUGAAAGCAGUUUGAAAAGUCCUGUGAGACAAGUCGUGGUUUUACUCCCUUGAGCAAGGAGGUUUCCACGUAAAAUACUUGUGCAAAUCUUACUUCCAGUUGUUUAUUUUCUGCACAUUUUUAGUUACUGUUCUUGCUGAGUCAAGGGACCUGGUCCUUGACUGAUAGUGGAUGCAUACAUUCCAACAGUUCACAUACAGGAUCAUUGUUCAAUGGGGACCAACUUCAUAGAAAUUUCCAGCAAAUUUAUUGUGUUCACAAAGAGUAAAGACUUUGCCUAUUUUCAGCCUCUAUAGGAAACUUGUUAUAAACUUCCUAAUUCAUGACAUAAAAAUGUUCCUUUUUUCAGUAUUGCACUGAUAAAUUAAACAAAUGAACAACAAAUUGAUACCUUUCUGUAAAUUGAUAUAAAUUCGUUGCCUUACCUGAGAAUUUGCUGUCAAGUUGUAUUUUGGUCCAAAAAUGCAUUCGCCGUCAAUAUUUGGUCCAAAAUGCCUUAUUGUUAUUUAAUGGGUCAAAAAUGCUCAUUUUCCAAAUUAAUAUAUUAGUAUUUUCUUUUGAUACAUUUUUUUCUAAUAAUGUUUUUAUAAAAAAAUUAGCAAAUGUUUAUCUUACUUCAAUUCAGAAAAAAAAAAAUGAAAAUAUUUCUUAUUUUUUUAUCAUUAAUUUUUAUUGUUAUAUAAAUAUAAAUUAAUAAUGGAUAUACUCUGAUCUUAUAUAUAUGACACAUAUUAUCUGUCGAAAGGGUACAUUCUAUUUUAAUUGAUAAAAUGAGAUUCAGAAGAAAAAAAUAUUUCCUACAUUUUAUUUGUUAAAGUGAUUUUUAGAAGAAAGAAAACAAGAAUAGUGUUCUUUAAUAAUAUUUUAAUUAGGAAUAAGAUGUGUUUAAAAAGAAAAAAAUAAUAUAUUUAUUCAGAAAAGGGCAUUUUUGAACCAUUUUGUAACUAUAGGGGCAUUUCUGGAUCAAAGUAUUGACUGCAGGGGCAUUUUUUAGCCAAAGUAUUGACGAUAAGGAUAUUUUUGAGCCAAACUAUAAACUGAGGGCAUUUUUGUUCCUUUCACAUAGUUUAAGGGAAUUUUUGACCCUUUUCCCUUUAUUCAAUCGUUGUUGUAUUUUUAUGUUUUUUUUUCUAUUUUCACUAUUUAUAGUUUUUCUUUUGUCCUUUUGGCUACAGACUUUAUGUAAGAGUUUUUUUUUUCUUACUCCCUGUUUCGUACCCAUAGUAAAGCCCAAUUAUUGUGGAGUCAUACCAUGUAGGGCCCCAUUCGAGGGGGAAAAGCAGGAAAACGCUUUGUACGAAUGAUUGACAAGCUGACGAAGUUUGUCCGGUUUUAACGUUUUCUUUAAUAGUGUUUAUUAGCAAUAAACAAGCGUUUUUUUACUCGUAUUGAAGAUGAGUUUUUUUUUUUAAUUAUCCGUAUUGAGUUAAAUUAAAAAUUAGAAAGUGAGUAUUUGUGUUAAAUCAAGAUAGCCGGGAUGAUAUGAAAUAAACAAAAAUACGUGGUGUUAUUUAAUUUAAUUGAAUGUUUAAGAAAGAAAAUUGAAGCACUUUCGUCGGUUAUUAUACAUGAAAAAAUACAUAAAAAAAUCUCAAAAAAUAUCAUAUCAAGGUUCAUACAUUAAUUUUUAUUUUUUUAAAAGGAAACUAACGAACACAAGUUAUAUUGACAAACACCAACUAAAGUCGCAUACCCUUGUGCAUAGGACUCAAUUAUUUUUAAUAAGUAUAAAUUUUCAAAUUAAAAAUGUCUCUCCAAAUACAAAUAACCUUUUUCAUAUAAACAGACCUUUGCCUCACUCAUUGCUUCUUCUUUUCUUUUUUCUAUGACCGCUAUCAUCACUCAUUGCUUCCUGUUCAUACACCAGCCGAAUUCCCCAGCAUGCUUCUUUGGUCUCCGGCCAGAACAUGUGAGAAAACUCCAACAUGUAAUAAUCAUUUGGAUUCUUCCCUUCUUUAUUGCCAGAAGCAUUCCACAAUGUUUCAAAUGGUAUGUAGACGCAACAUAUGAAAGGAUACUUGGACACCAUAUUUUCAUGGAAGCUGUUGUUAGACUUCAAGGAAUAUUUUCUUUCAGGGUCACAUUUGCAGACCAAUGUAGCUUCUAAUCUUAUGUACUUUGUAGUAGGACCGUAGGUUAUCCAAAAACCCAUGAAUUUAUUGGUAUACCAAGAUGGAUUCAGAUCAAUUGACAUCUUUUCUUGAUUUAUAAACGGACAAUCAUAAUCGAACAACUCUGAAAUUCUGACUCUGGGAAAAUUAAUGAGAAAAUAAUCCCUUUGAUGGAAGUCACACUGCAUGCAAUAGAAUAGAGAUUAUUAUUACUACUAGAAACCAAUUAGACAAGAAUAUUCAACAUUCAUAUAUGAGAUAAAAACCUGGAUGCAUGUCCUGAGAAAAUGCUGUAGGAACACAUUAACUUGUUCACUUGAGACGGCUCCACAGUCGGAUAUUACGAGCCAAUACAGCUUAAGACAAUUAAUUACGAGAUCUUUGAUGCUCUUCAAGGCUAAAUGAUAAUCUGCUAAUAGCUCCCUUAAAUUUGGGGGUAGCUCUCCUGGCAGUUCAUUAAGAUUCUGACAGAAUUGUAUGUUCAGAUGCUGAAGGUGUAAGAGUCCUUUAAAGCUUUUUGGUAAACAAGAAAUAUUGCUUCCACUUAAACGCAAGCUUGUCAAAGAGUGCAAAGAUCCUAAAUCCUCAGGAAGUCCCCACAAGCAUAACACUUUCAGUUUCCCAAGCUUGGUGAUGGAGAGAGGUGGUUGGUAUAUUGCAGUUUCGCCCGCAUCAAACAUACGUAACUCUUGCAAAUCACCCAUGUUUUCUGGAAGCUUCUCUAACUUUUUGCACCCUCUGAGGAAAAGAUAUUGAAGAUUCAUCAAAUUACAGAGGCUGUCUGGUAGACUUACAAGAUCUUCACAACCU
rnacentral:lncRNA from 1 species